rnacentral:lncRNA from 1 species
GCAGCCAAGGGAAUUGCGUUAAUGGAUGUGGGCAGUGAAACUGUUUGGAGGCCUUGUGUGCCUGUACAACAAGAACAGCCUGCUGUACAACCUCGACAAGAGAAACCUGUUGUACAACAAGAGCAGCCUGUUGUACAACCCCAAGAGGAGAAACCUGUUGUUGUCACUAAUGAACAAGCAAAUCCUCCUCCGUCGUCAGCUGAUAAAUAGGGGCUCAUCGAAUCUUAGCUUGUGAACUAGUAAGUUAUAGCUAC